UGAGGAAUUUUGCGCAAUGGGAGCAAUCCUGACGCAGCAACGCCGCGUGGGUGAUGAAGGCCUUCGGGUCGUAAAGCCCUGUCAGGUGGGAAGAAUGUCUCGGGACUGAACAGGUUUCGGGAGUGACGGUACCACCAGAGGAAGCACCGGCUAACUCCGUGCCAGCAGCCGCGGUAAUACGGAGGGUGCAAGCGUUAUUCGGAAUUACUGGGCGUAAAGCGCGUGUAGGCGGUCCUGCAAGUCUGAGGUGAAAGCCCCGGGCUUAACCCGGGAAGUGCAUUGGAAACGGCAGGUCUUGAGUACUGGAGAGGAUGGGGGAAUUCCCGGUGUAGAGGUGAAAGUCGUAGAGAUCGGGAGGAAUAUCAGUGGCGAAGGCGCCCAUCUGGACGGUAACUGACGCUGAGACGCGAAAGCGUGGGGAGCAAACA
rnacentral:rRNA from 1 species